CCGUAAUUGGCCCGUGGGCAUUACGGCUACUUAUUAUAUGGCUAGCUCCGUAAGCCGGCAAGAUAACUCAACACCUGCGCUGUGAUUGGCUACCCGAGCGGGCAAGAUGGAGCUAUCUUGCCCGCUCGGGACUACCCGCCGUGUCCCGCAAGAAAAAUUUACCCGAAAGCCAUAUAAUAAACAUAAAUAUUUAACUGGUAAUAUUUAAUAACUCAGAGGUCGCGCAACAUCCGUAAAACAGACAGCGUGGCAAAAGAUUUCGACUGCAACAACGUGUUAACAAUAAAUAAUAAAAGUAUUACGUAGCAUAUGACUGUAAUAUCUGAAAUAUUUUUGUUGCAGUUUUGCCUCACAGACCAUUGAUCACAAAACAACUAAAACAACAGUUAAAAUACUGAUGAGAAGUAUGCAGAAUCUUGCAUCAUGUUAUACAUAGGAAAAAUCUCUUUGGAAAAAAAAUAUGACAUUAACCACAUACUUCUGGUAAACACAGUAGCGUCACAAUUUGUUUGUGUUUGUGUUUUUAGACAUAACUCAUGCCAGAUUCACCCCAAACACAGGAGGAAAUCAAGUCCAUUCAUUCUCAGAAGCCUUUAACAAACUACAUAACGCAGAAGAGCAGGAACUCGCCAGUUAUACUAAUGACGGUAGAGUUCCUCAAACGCUGGGAGAGGCACUAAAUGUUGAAAAGGCAGAAGCAAAUUAUGAAAAUACAUUUGAAAAUUUAUAUGGUAAAGAAAAUUCCAUUGGGAUACAAAAAGGAGCAGCAUUCUUACCAGAAAAACAACUUUGAACUUAAUUAUGUCGUGAAACUAUUAUUAGUUGUUUACCACAUCAUAAUAACAAAACCACAUUUUCCCCUCAUAACAGUAAAAACAACAGUUUAUAUCCCCAAUGCGAAAUAUAACAUUUUCAUCUGCAUUUACGGCGGCUGACAACGCUUUCCAGCAUUUUUUGGCACUUCAACUUUGAUAUAGCAGUAAUACCAUUCUUGCACAGUUGAUGGUUCAGUAAAGGCAUCGACUGAAAAAGAGUUAAAGCACCUUGGAAUCCCAUUAAUCCCGUCACCAACGGGCCAUAAAAAUCUGGCAGUACUAAAGGAGUUCUUUAAAUAAGAAAAUGACUGACGACUUUUGUUCGGGCAAGGAAAAAGUGGCCGUAAAAUAGCCGUAUUAACGGGGUGGUCGUAAGUCGGGGUUCCACUGCACUGAUUAGUCAAGGAGGAAGUAACAAAAAAUGCUGGAAACUGGAAAGUGAAAGCAUAUUUCAACCCCUCUAUUUCGAGCAGUCGCGGGAAAAUGAUAGUUCAAAAAAACGGAUCCAAAUUAACUAUGAAAGUAAUAAACUGAUAUUAAUAAAAAUGCGAGGAACAGGAUAGAAUGAUUUAUUCAUUAUCUGCAGAAUUUAUUUGAAGUAAUGUGGACAGUUAGGGAAUGUUUUUCUGUUGACUUAGAAUCAACAGAGAACACUUGUGGACGAAGUUGACCGCGUUGCCACCAAACGUUGAAUUGUUCCAGUAGUGUUAGCACGGUGUUCGAUGAAACAGAAUUAAAAAAAAAGCUGGAAUAAAUUACUGAAAAUAUAAGGGCAAUGGGUCAGAGUACAAAUACGUUGGUCCAACUAUAUUUCUUCCAUGAAAAACAGUUAUCAAGAAGAGAAAAUGUUCCCUUAAAUUAACGCAAAAAUUAUCUUAUAUUUACGGACACUUCCAUAAAAAGAUAUAUCUUGUACGAAUGUAUGUAGAAUGUCAAAGUGAGCAAUAAACAGCUGUUGUAAACCUCUGUCACUACUGUGUCAUAAAUACUUCAUAUCCUUUGGCCCAUAUAAACUUUGACUCCUUCAGGUGGAUUUACUUGGAAAGUUAACCGAUAUUUCCAAGCAGGAAAGACGUUUGCUAGUUGAAGACGGAAUGAUGAUUAUUUACCCGCAAAUCCAGCAAAUUUCUUUAUGAUGAGAAGGUUUUUUAGUAGUCGUAGUAAGCGGAUUCAUCUACAUGUAGGAUCGUUCUAUUUGGAUUAACUUAACCAACCAUCACAAUGUCGUCAUCUCCGCAAGGUAGAGCUUUUCUUUAAGCCCAGAGAAAAA